CCGGAGCUUGCUCCACCGGGAAAAGAGGAGUGGCGAACGGGUGAGUAACACGUGGGUAACCUGCCCAUCAGAAGGGGAUAACACUUGGAAACAGGUGCUAAUACCGUAUAACAAUCGAAACCGCAUGGUUUCGUUUUGAAAGGCGCUUUACGGUGCCGCUGAUGGAUGGACCCGCGGUGCAUUAGCUAGUUGGUGAGGUAACGGCUCACCAAGGCCACGAUGCAUAGCCGACCUGAGAGGGUGAUCGGCCACAUUGGGACUGAGACACGGCCCAAACUCCUACGGGAGGCAGCAGUAGGGAAUCUUCGGCAAUGGACGAAAGUCUGACCGAGCAACGCCGCGUGAGUGAAGAAGGUUUUCGGAUCGUAAAACUCUGUUGUUAGAGAAGAACAAGGGUGAGAGUAACUGUUCACCCCUUGACGGUAUCUAACCAGAAAGCCACGGCUAACUACGUGCCAGCAGCCGCGGUAAUACGUAGGUGGCAAGCGUUGUCCGGAUUUAUUGGGCGUAAAGCGAGCGCAGGCGGUUUCUUAAGUCUGAUGUGAAAGCCCCCGGCUCAACCGGGGAGGGUCAUUGGAAACUGGGAGACUUGAGUGCAGAAG
rnacentral:rRNA from 1 species